GCGAAUGGUGGCUCACGCGCUCUGGAGAUAGAUUAAGUUCGCAGCAGACAUUCUGACAGCCUUACUCAGUCUGUAAUUGAUCCACAAACCUUUUGAACAUUGGGGGAUGAUUUUCCACGUAAUGUUCGAUGUACUGGGUGUUCAUGUCCAGCUAGCAGCUGUGUAAAAGGAGCAUGGGUCGAUAUGGCCAUCCUAUUCCAAAGACUUCAUGGAACUACUCCAAUCGGAGAAUCAACUGAAAUCCAAAAGUCUUCCUGUCUCAUCUAUGGGCAUAUCUUAAGCUUAAAAAAAAUACGAGUCCCAGAAGUCUGUAACAAACCUUGAUGCCCAUUAUUUAUCUUGCUGGUCUACGAAACAAUUUAGAAUGAACAAAAAUCCAUUAAUAGUGCAUAAAAUCCAUUUACUGUAAAGCCAGGCCUCAAAAACUGUUUCAAAAUAAAUCAUCAUGG